ACAGACUUAGCGCCUUUUUACGAGAAAUGAGGAUUAAUGUGGAAUGAGUUCAAAUGAAUUUCAAGUGAUUGCCAGAAGAGAAAGAGUUUCCAACAGAUGGCGAAACAUAAGAUCAGGAUUAUGGACAUAUUUUACAAAAUUAAAUUUGAGGUUUAAAAAACGGGGAUUCAGAUCAAGAAGAAGCCCAGGGAUCAACCGCAUCAUUUUUAAUAAGAUAAUUGGAUUAUCAGAAAGGAACAAUUAGAUCUACAGAAGUGACAAUUUUCACUGGUUAUUAGUCUGCACGGAAAUUAUUAAGAAUUUGGAUAUAUAUGACCUCAAAGAUCUCUUUUCAUUUGUAUCAUUAAUGGAAACACUCGAAUAUUUGGUUGUAAUCAAUACUAGAUACAAACAUACUUUCGAAUAGAUUUUCUGAAUGAAUUGUCAUUCGACACACUUGAAGAGAUAACCUUGUCAUGUGUAUUCAAGGAAAAGUUUCCUAAUAAGAAAUUGUCAUUCUUGAGAAAUGAAGGAAAUUUUUCAACAAGGAGCAGAUACAAUAUUUAACAAUGGAAAUAUUAAAUUGUACUUCGGAAAGGAGUUUUGUCAAAUUCUG